GAUGAACGCUGGCGGCGUGCCUAAUACAUGCAAGUCGAGCGAACAGAUAAGGAGCUUGCUCCUUUGACGUUAGCGGCGGACGGGUGAGUAACACGUGGGUAACCUACCUAUAAGACUGGAAUAACUCCGGGAAACCGGGGCUAAUGCCGGAUAACAUUUAGAACCGCAUGGUUCUAAAGUGAAAGAUGGUUUUGCUAUCACUUAUAGAUGGACCCGCGCAGUAUUAGCUAGUUGGUAAGGUAACGGCUUACCAAGGCAACGAUACGUAGCCGACCUGAGAGGGUGAUCGGCCACACUGGAACUGAGACACGGUCCAGACUCCUACGGGAGGCAGCAGUAGGGAAUCUUCCGCAAUGGGCGAAAGCCUGACGGAGCAACGCCGCGUGAGUGAUGAAGGUCUUCGGAUCGUAAAACUCUGUUAUUAGGGAAGAACAAAUGUGUAAGUAACUGUGCACGUCUUGACGGUACCUAAUCAGAAAGCCACGGCUAACUACGUG
rnacentral:rRNA from 1 species